AAUGAACGCUGGCGGCGUGCUUAACACAUGCAAGUCGUGCGCGAAGGUGGCUUCGGCUGCCGGAGAGCGGCGAACGGGUGAGUAACACGUGGGUGAUCUGCCUGGGGGCGGGGGAUAACCUGGGGAAACGUCGGGCUAAUACCGCAUACGUUGGCGGGUUUACGGACUCGUCAAGAAAGCUGGCCUCUGCUUGCAAGCUAGCGCUCCCAGAGGAGCCCGCGGCUGAUAGCUAGUUGGUGAGGUAAUGGCUCACCAAGGCGACGAUCAGUAGCCGGCCUGAGAGGGUGAUCGGCCACACUGGGACUGAGACACGGCCCAGACUCCUACGGGAGGCAGCAGUCGGGAAUCUUGCCCAAUGG
rnacentral:rRNA from 1 species